CCUCUAUUUCUUGGCAUACGCUUGUUAAUUCAGUACUAGUGUGUGUAAUGUACGGAGGCAGAGAAAUGCCAGUGCUAUGUCUUCGGUGCCAGUGUGUUCAUUGUCUGCUGGUUCUAUCCUCAAUCACUGGGACAGCU
ensembl:snoRNA